UACCGCGUCCCGCCUCCAGGGGGCGCCGCCGGGGGCGGCCUCCUGGGGCGGCGGCGCCAGUCUCGCCGGGGAUUUCCGCUCGCUGCCUGGUCCUCUCUCCCCGACGGCGCCGCGCUCUGCGGCAGCAGGACUGAGAGAAGGACACCUGGUUCAUGGGCUACUGGUCACACUGUGAGGUGGGGAUACUUAUCCCGGCGUCCCAUUAGGAAGGAUUCUGAAGUCAAAAGCUUUGUAGGCUCUCACACUUACUAUGGUGCUGGACUCCAAGGUGACCGGGUUUUGAAGAAACAAGUCUACGGGGGCAUUAGAAAGAAGAACUGAGCCUGAUGUGAAGAAAAAAGAUGGAGGACAAGUUGCCAGAUGGGCUUCAGGGGUUGUUGUGGUAUGAAACCUAAGAGGCCAAAUAUUAGGGAAAUGUAGUUCAAAAUGUAUAGAAAUGGGAUGAGUUUCUGUAGCUAAGUCAUUUUUGGUUUAAAACUAAUGCAGUAGUUGGAUUGGAAUUUGGAUUGGAAUAAAUAAAAAAUAAUGAAGGAUUAGUAAGGUUGUUACCUCCAUUGGACCCAAGUCCUUAUUUUGUUUAAAAAAAUUAUUAUAGAUGUUCUUUAAACUUUAUUCCUGUUGACAUUAAUAAGGUCCUAUAAAUGUGCAUAUAUAUGGGGAAGUGGAGGAAGGGAUAAUAGACGGGUAUUGGGGUCUUAAAUUGGGGUUUUAGAAUACCAGACUAAUACACCUGCUGCCCCCUGGUGGCAGCGUAUUAAAUAGUGAAGUUCAGAGGUGAGGAAUUCUGGAGAGCUGAGUUGGUUGUAUAAGAGGAUUAUAGGGGGAAUCAGGAGAUGUUUUCUCUUUCCAGCUCUGUUCAUAAUUACUAUCCAUAUGACCUUAGGUAAAUCAUUUAGUUUGAUUACCUUUUAUUUUAUAAGUUUCUUCCAGCUUUCACAUCUUACAAUUCUCUGAUGGUAAUAGCACAUAUUAUGUACCAAAAGAUGUGAAGUUCCACUUUUUCCAUUAGCAGCUGAAUCCUAACAUAUCCUAUAUAUUUGUUUAAGAAAGCAUACUCUAGAGUAACUCCUGAGGCACGAUACAGAUUCAGCUCUGGGCAGCAGACUGCAUAGGCUAUCUGUAGCACAGUCCAUAAUUAAUCAGUGUGACGAUCUUGCAUUAUUAUGAAAGCUCACAAGUUACAUCAUUUAAAAAAUAAUUUUUAUUGUGGUUAAAAAAAUAACAUAAACUUUACCAUCUUAACCAUUUUUAAGUAUACAGUUCAAUAGUGUUAAGUAUAUUCAGUGUUGUACAACAUACCUCCAAAACUGUUACUUCUUGUAAAACUGAAACUGUGUACCCAUUAGACAGCAACCCCCUACACUCCCCCUGCCCCUAGCAACCGCCAUGCUACUCUCUGUCUCUAUGAAUUUGACUAUUCUAGGUACCUCAUGUAAGUGGAAUCAUACAGUAUUUGUCUUUUUGUGACUAGUUUCUUUCAUUUAGCAUGAUGUUCCUAAGGCGAAUCCAAAUUGUAGCACGUGACAGGAUUUCUUUCCUUUAAGGCUGAAUAUUUGUAUGUAGAUACAUUUUACUUCUCCAUUCAUCUAUUGACAGACUCUUGGAUUACUUCCACUUCUUUGCUAUUGUGAAUAAUGCUGCAAUGAACCAAGGAUAUGCUGCAUUUUUAGUAUACAGUGUUUACUAAUGCAGAGAGGGUUUAUACAGUUUUUACAUGCAUAAAAGGUUAAAUUUCAUUAUAAAAACACCAUUCAACCAUGCUAAAUAACUAGGAUAUAGCUUUUUGUGUGGAUGAGUAAGUUAAAAAAGGAAUUAACAUUUAUCGAACAUACAAACUGUAUGUCAGGCACUUUUGUAUCUGUGAUCCAUUCUAUUGUUUAGUGCUUACAGUAAUUCUGUGAUUUACCCUUCUCUUGGGAGGGGACUAAUACUUAUUAAAAUCACUGUGUACCAGAAUUUUUAUAUACGUUAUCUCAUAUAAUCUUCAUACAUUAACCCUUGAGGUGUGCUUUAGUAUCCCUGAUGUAACUGAGGUUCAGAGAUAUGAAACACCUUGAACAAGGUCACAUAGCUAAAAGGUAGCAGAGUUUUACCUGAGUACAAAGUGAAACAUGUCUGUUUCAGAUGUGUUCAACAUAUACCAUACUUUCUCCUGCUUUCAGAAAUAACACUAUACAUCUAUGAUCUGAAAGAUGUUGGAACAAUAUCAAGAUUACACUGCUACAAUAAUUUAUAAAUAGAAACACUUCUGUAGUGCCUUUCCACUAAAUAACAGUCUUUGGGUUUUCCUUGCAGAGAAACAGCAUCGAUUCAGAUGAAUUCAUCUGAAAUGUAUCAAGGCUUACCUCCUGGGGCAUUUUGCAAAAUAAACCUUCCUAGGACUUCCAAAAGAGUGGUUCUCUUGUGCCAGUCCCCCCAUUUCUGAGGUUAUCUUCCAUGUGUUAUUUUCCCCUUUUUCUUUCUCCCUUUCCUUUGAUGUGGCAGAUAGCUAGGACCGUUUUCACCACUUUCUGCCCCCACCUCUCUUGAACGCUGUGCUGCUUGGGUUUGGAGUUUUGAUCUGCUCCUUGCAUAGUGUUUUUUCACAGGUAAAGGGUUAUAAAAUGUCCUCAUAGGUGGUGGUUUUCUUGGUGAGUCAGUAAGCUCUUGGAAAGGCCCACUGCAACAUGGGGUUUUUCGACUAACAGAGAUGUAGUGGUAUAGCAUCCGAGCAGCCACUUAAGCUUCUCUAAGAGUUCCUGUGCACUUAGGAUGACUUACAUUGGUAAUUUACAAGCCUAGUGAUAGGUGAGGCUCAGGAAUGCUUCCAAGAUUCAUUCAAGGCCUUCAAUAAUUCCUGAAAGCAGGAUGUUAUCCAGUAAAUAAAGAAAAUGAGAGUGGCAGAAAUUGUGGUCACCACCAAAUGUCCAAUGUCUCCUUCCUUAGUUCCUGAUCUGCAGUUUUAUUCUGAGUGACCAUGUCCCUCAAGUUAUGGUAAAAAACAGGAAGGAGAAAUGUGUGAGACUUCUGGCAAGUUUUGCAAAGAAACCUGAGUCCGUGAGGUUGCUCCUGUUCCUCACCCUGCCCUUCAUAGUUCCUAUUACUUCGCAUGAAGAUAUUAUGGCCAGUGUAAUGGCAGCCAUCUUUUCUCCUAAGAGGACCUUAAGAAUGGAAGGCAUCUGUUAGCAGUGACACCGAGGAGCCUGGUGUGCUGGCUUACACAAAUGGCCACAAAUUCUUUCUAUUCUCUUGUGUGUGCACCUGUGCAGGGCACCUUUGCAGCCCCUCCCAUAAAGGGAAGAAGUCACCAUCUCCACCCCUAAACCUAGCACGGGGAGUCCCAGGCUGAGUGGGGUGAGUAGACUGCCCUUUUAGAGGGUUAUCUCAAUGUGGGCUGUCAGAGCCUGAGCGGCAAGAGGAGAGUUUAUGUGCAGGGAAGAUGGUUGUGACUGAAAUUGGAAAUUAGUUACAUAUGGAAGGAUUGAUCAUGUAAUUAACUGUACCAAAGAUCAUAUGAGCCAGCUAUGCCACUGUUGAAGGGAGUUGUCAGUACAGAAAUGUCAAGAACUAGGAUGAACCGUGUGGUGGUAUGGAUUGGGUCAGGUGUGUGAGUGUGAACUCAUGGUUUUCAAUACGUAUGGAUAUAAAUAUGUGUGUGUGUGUGUGUGUGUAUAGAUAGAUAUAGAUAUAUAGAUAUAUGUGUACAUAGUCUACUGAGGGAGCCUCUUGGGCAGAUAACACUGCAAGAACAAUAAGCACACCUCACACCUAGAUCUUGGCUUCUAAAUACCAACUAACAGGUGGAAACUAGGGCUCCUUGCAGAAAUGGCUGGUUCCAGGCCUGGGGCAGAGAAAGUCCAAGAUGAAUGUGGAACAUCUUGUGCCAGAAAGCAAGGAAAUGCAUUCUUAGGACUCAGCGACAGAAACAGUUCUGCCCACAAGGGAGGAUUACACAGGGGAGAUGAUGUUUGAAGUGACCUGUGAACCUUGAAGGAUGAGUAGGAUUUUGCCAGGCAGCAUGUUGAGGAAGGAAGAAGUUCCUUAGGGGCAAUGGCAGCCUUAUGAGCAAAGAGGGGGUCAGAUUAUACCUGCCGCAGAGCAGUGUAAGGUAUGGCCUACAUAUGGCUGAAGAGAAAGAUGCAGCUGGACACUGAUUGUCCUGCGUGAGCCACGUGCAGAAACUUAGGCUUGACCCUUUAGAAUUUGUCUAGAGCUGCAUAACAAAUUAUCCUUAACAUCAGUGGCUGCAGACAACAUGCAUUAUCCCCCAUUUUCUGCAGGUGAGAAUCUGGGAGCUGCUUGGCUCGUGGCUCUAGCUCAGGGUCUUCAGCAGGCUGCAGACAGGGUGUGGGCUGGGGCUGUGGUCAUCUCCCAGCUGACUGGAGGAGCAUCUGAGCUCACUCAUGUGACAGCCAGCAGGCCUUGGGGCCUUUCUGGCUGUCGGCAGAGACCUCAGCUCCUCUCCAGACGGGUGUCUCCUUAGGGAGUCUCACAGCGUGGCAGCUGGCUUCCGUGACAGCGAGGGGUCUGAGGAAAAGAGUGUACCAGAGAGCCCUCCAGACGGAAGGCACAGUCUAUUUAAAACCUAAUCUCAGAAGUAACAUCCCAUCACAUCCUCUGUAUUGUGUUCAUUUGAAUCAAGUCACUAAAGCUAGCCUUUGCACAAGGGGCACGAAUCACACAGGGACACUGUCAGUAGGGGAGAGGAUCAUUAGGGUCAUCUGAGGGGGCCCCUCAGAGCCCAGGCUGGGAAACGGGGAGGGGCACGGUCUUGCAUGCAGUUGCAGGUUGCGGGGGGCGGGGGGGUGAGGGCAAGCCUGGGGCAGUGAGACCAUUUAGGAGGUGGCCAUCCAUGUGGGCAAGGAGAGGCCUUGUCAUCAGUAGCUGGGAGCAGUUGGAGUGAGAGGAAAGAGGGCUUAGGUCACCAGGCGGUGCCGAUGCCUCCAGAUUAUGUGUGUGCACCCAGCCGCAGCAGGCAUCAUCUUCAGAAACUUGUGAUGAGAUGCCUGCUGUUUGAAAAAACACCAAUGCUUUCUUAUUACUUGCUGUUAAGCAGAUUGGUUCAUGGACUUCAGUGGGUGGAAACCAGCUUCUGCAGAGAGGGCUUUGCAGGAUCCCUUUGCUGCCAGGAAACAAGUGGGAGCUGCUGGGCCAUUACCUCAUUUUAAAGCACAUGCUCAGGCUGUGGGAGCUCGGCUGUAAUCCCUUCAGUUUUAUCUCACACAUGUUCUCCACCCACACUGUUAUUUGGUAGUGAAAUGACACAUGAAGGUUGCUUGGGUUUGAGGGUAGGCUGAACUGUACCAGGCUCUACAGUUCUAGCGGAUCCCUCUUGGAGGUCAACGCUGUGAUCUUUACUGAGGACAUCUGAAGGAUGGCUUCUCCUUCCUGACAUCUCCCCUUUGUUUGAAGUUUGACCUGAACACCAACCAGUUACUUUAAAGAGUGAUGUUUCCACAGAGAUUUUGGAUUUUGUAUUUCAGGUGUGUCGUCAGCAAGCCAACGUAAACAAGAUUACCUGCACAUUGGGGAAGUAGAUGUGCAUAAGUAGUGGGCACAGGGUCAUAGGAUUGGGGAGGGGGAGGUAGACAGGCCAUCACUUGUGAAACCCUGUAUGUGGAGAAAAAGUAUUUCAGGUUUACUUCACUCUAGUCUUUUCCUAGCAUCAUUAUGUUCAAAGUUAAAAACAAGCAUAGAGACCAUCCAUUAACCCUGAGUGAUUCCUGGGAAUGCGGCCAUCUGGGAGAGCAGUAAAGUCAUGCUUCUGGAAGGUGUGAACUGGGACCCUGCUUCUGUCCCCCAUGAAGGGCUGGCUGCCACCACCCUGGGGCACACCCAGCACAGAGCCUGUAUAGCCCUGUACUGUGUUAUGCUGCUGACACCAGGUGUUGAAAGUUAAAAAUGGAAUUUAUUCCACAUGUUUAAAAUGGUUAUUCCUGUUGCUUAAUACUUGCACUUAAGGCUGACCUUGAAUCAUAAGUGAGUGAAAACAUGAUGCUCUUAGAAAAUUUGUAUUCAGUAAUAGUGUUUAGGAAACAGUUUCAUAGUUACAUAAAAAUGAUGGGGCAAUUUAAAGGGCUAAUGUGUAUUAAACUUGGAAAAGACCACCUUUUAGUUAUCUUGAGAUCUUUUUAUAUCAUCUUUACUUUUAUGUAUUUUGUUUUCCUUUUUGUGUAACUUGGACACUUGAAGCAUUUUAUUUUUUAAAAGAUACAGGUUUCUAUACAUGUGAAAUCUUUAAUAUUUGGAAAAUUUGUUUUUCUGGUUAAUUGAACUUUCCAUAUAGCUGAAGGUUAAGCAAAAAUCUUUUCUAGAAAAUCUUGUGAAUCAGUGUUUUUAUAGUGUACAAAAAAUAAUGAAGCCUCUUUAACCCAAAAGUUAGUAAUUCUACAGUAGCAUCAGCAUAAAACUGAAGGACCUUACAGUAGGCAAGAUAUGGAAACAACCUAAGUGUCUGUCAACAGAUGAUAAAGUGUGUAUAAUAUUCCAUUACAAAUGGAAUUAUAUAGGGGCGCCUGGGUGGCU